rnacentral:lncRNA from 1 species
UUUUGGUGUAAAAUUGGUAAUAGAAUAAUAGUUUAAGUAGCACACGAGACCAAAAAAAAAUGUUUAGAUAUCAAAAUGAGAAAAAAAAAAUAAAAGAUGGUAUAGUUUAGGUUUAAGUGAAAAUGUAUAGCAUACGUAAUUUGGUGAAAGGCCCAAAGCUGCAAGAGGUAACAAAAUAUAUGAAGUUUUCAUAAUAGGCCC